rnacentral:lncRNA from 1 species
CACAAUCACAAAAACACAGCAAACCUAAUUGGCACUGUCAAACCAUCAACCUCCUGACAACUCCAAGCAGUCUGCAAAGGAAAAGGUCAAGGUUCAGUCCUUGCUUAAAGUAAAAACCAGGAACCACAACAUCCCAGCCAUAAAUCCUUCUACUAUUCUGAAAAACGGAUGACCGAUAACGCAUAUUUAAAUACGAUGCUCCUCCCACUUGUUCAGGAGCAGCCAAUUAGAGUCCUUCCUCCUCGCCCGCGAUUUCGUGUUCUCGCGGUGCUAGGCUAACCCUAGCGGGGGGGGUUGUGCUCUCGAAGCUUUUCCGUUCUUGUCCGAGGCACGAGUCAAAACUUUGUGCGUGCGUAUAUGUCUGCUCUCUUUUGCUUCAUUAUAGAUUUGUGGAUGUCGCUGCACUCAAAAAUGAUAAAGGCAACCAGGAAAAGGUCACAAGCUGGUCCAUCGAUCAGGACAUUUUUCAGAUUUUAACAUUUUCUUUGAAACUUUAGCAGCUUUAAAGGAACACUACAGUAAGGGGCUCAGUUAAAGCAUUCCGAUCCCAUUGGGAAGGGUUUUGGUUUGACUGAAGCUGGUGAUUCAGAGUAUGGUCGUCUGUUUGAAGACCCGUGACAACAAUUAUUUGUCAGAAUACCAGAUCUUGUAUGCAAUCUGUUGUCUAUCUUCUGUCUUGGAUUAUAUAUUUUGAUAAUAGUUUUAUUUCAAUUGUGCAAGCAGUUUUAAAACCUGUAUAUUGAGAGUAA